GGCUGGUUAGCUCAGUCGGUUAGAGCGUGGUGCUGAUAACACCAAAGUCGCAGGUUCGAUCCCAAUUUGGUCC
rnacentral:tRNA from 1 species